CAAUAGCGUAUAUUUAAGUUGUUGCAGUUAAAAAGCUCGUAGUUGGAUUUCGGGUGGGACGCAGCGGUCUCGCAUUGCGUUUGUACUGCUGCAGCCCUCCUUCUUGCCGGGGGCGGCCUCUCGGACUUCACUGUCUGGGGGUCAGAAUCGGCGAUGUUACUUUGAGUAAAUUAGAGUGUUCAAAGCAAGCUUACGCUCUGAAUAUAAUAGCAUGGGAUAACACGACAGGACUCUGGCCUAUCGUGUUGGUCUAUAGGACCAGAGUAAUGAUUAAGAGGGACAGUCGGGGGCAUUCGUAUUCCGUUGUCAGAGGUGAAAUUCUCGGAUUUACGGAAGACGAACAUCUGCGAAAGCAUUUGCCAAGGAUGUUUUCAUUGA
rnacentral:rRNA from 1 species